CAGGACGAACGCUGGCGGCGUGCCUAAUACAUGCAAGUCGAACGGUCUUUCUAUGGAAGCUUGCUUCCACUGAGAAGAUAGUGGCGAACGGGUGAGUAACACGUGGGUAACCUGCCCAUAAGAGGGGGAUAACAUCCGGAAACGGGUGCUAAUACCGCAUAGUUUUCUUGGUCGCAUGAUCGGGAAAGGAAAGACGGCCUUUGUGCUGUCGCUUAUGGAUGGACCCGCGGCGUAUUAGUUAGUUGGUGAGGUAACGGCUCACCAAGACGAUGAUACGUAGCCGACCUGAGAGGGUGAUCGGCCACAUUGGGACUGAGACACGGCCCAAACUCCUACGGGAGGCAGCAGUAGGGAAUCUUCCGCAAUGGACGAAAGUCUGACGGAGCAACGCCGCGUGAGUGAAAGAAGGUUUUCGGAUCGUAAAACUCUGUUGUCAGAGAAGAACAAGUUGGAGAGUAACUGCUCCAGCCUUGACGGUAUCUGACCAGAAAGCCACGGCUAACUACGUGCCAGCCGCCGC
rnacentral:rRNA from 1 species